rnacentral:misc_RNA from 1 species
GACAGAGGGUGCAAACGUUGCUCGGAAUCACUGGGCGUAAAGCGCGUGUAGGCGGACGUUCAAGUCAGAUGCGAAAGCUCUGGGCUCAACCCAGGAACUGCAUUUGAAACUGGACGUCUCGAGUGUUGGAGAGGGAAGCGGAAUUCCUGGUGUAGAGGUGAAAUUCGUAGAUAUCAGGAGGAACACCGGUGGCGAAGGCGGCUUCCUGGACAACUACUGACGUUGAGACGCGAAAGCGUGGGGGGCAAACAGG